rnacentral:rRNA from 3 species
CGGUGGUCCCACCUGACCCCAUGCCGAACUCAGAAGUGAAACGCCG